GGAGGGAUAUAUAUAGGAUAUUGGUGUCGCUACACUAACAAGCGUUUCCCAUUAAAAAAUACUUUUUCUUUCUCAAAACGGUCAAAUUUUUUAUAUUUCAAACUAGUGUUGCUUGACUACUUGGUGGCAUCACCUUACAUCACUUUUUUUUUAUUUUGUUUCAUCCUUUUUUUUCAGUUAACUACAUUUAAAAAAUACCCACCGG
rnacentral:lncRNA from 1 species